AGCGAACGCUGGCGGCAGGCUUAACACAUGCAAGUCGAGCGGGCCCUUCGGGGUCAGCGGCUGACGGGUGAGUAACACGUGGGAACGUACCCUUUGGUUCGGAAUAACGCUGGGAAACUAGCGCUAAUACCGGAUACGCCCUUUUGGGGAAAGGCUUGCUGCCGAAGGAUCGGCCCGCGUCGGCUUAGCUAGUUGGUGGGGUAAUGGCCUACCAAGGCGACGAUCAGUAGCUGGUCUGAGAGGAUGAUCAGCCACAGUGGGAGUGAGACACGGCCCAGACUCGGACGGGAGGAAGCGGCGGGGACUCUUGGGGAAGGGGCGAGGGCGUGAUAGAGAAAAAGGGCGUAGGUGAAGAAGGCCCUCGGGUGGGAAAGUACUGUGGUUGGGAAAGAAAAGAAGCUGGUUAGUCCGGGGCUGUACUGACGGUACCGAAGGAAUAAGCCCCGGCUAACUUCGUG
rnacentral:rRNA from 1 species